GGGCUGGAACACAACCGUGGGCUUUACCCAUCCAGUGCACAGCAGGCUAAAACCUUGGGUGCGGGCAAGGGCUUGCGUCAGGCGUUUCUGGCCCUUGCUGAACAAAGAAUGAGGGGAGGAAAAUAGAUGAGAUCCUGAUCUGCUUAAAUCCUCAUUUGGAAUCAAAUGUGUGGUGACAAGGGAGAGAGCUGAGCUUUGUCUCCAUUUUACAUAACUCUGCAGAAUUUAUCACAGCUUGGCUUCUAGGUGGUUGCAGUAAUGGCAAGAGAUUGUCCCAAGGCAUAUUUGAAAUGAAGACAUCUGAAAGUUGAAGAUUCACCUGCUAUUUUUCAGUACAGACGGAGGAUGCAGCUCUGUGACCGUCCUUACCAGAUCUGUGCAAUGCUGGAUCUGUUGACUUUACACAAAAAGCCAGCAGAUACAGCUGCAGCAGGCUGCCUCUUUUGAUGCAUUUUGAUAAUUACAGUAUCAUCCUUUAAAUAGCAUUUUCCUGACUUGUCACCUGAAGUCCUGUGCUGCCCUGAGUCCCAGCCCUACCCCUUCCCUUUGUGGGCCGGGAAUAACAUAACACCCAGGCUCUGUUAUUAAUGACCUCUGUGGGAUGAAUUUCUCUUUUUCGUGCUUAGUCACCGACAUCUGUUUCCCUGGAACAAUGCAGCACGUGAUGGGGCUGACAUCAUAGCUUUGCACGACUGCCCCCACAGUCACUCCUCAAACCGCAACAGCAGCAGAGUACCAAAGAUGGGAAAGUUAUUUCUGCUGCAGGCAGUGACGGAAAGGUUACCGUGUAGCUAAAGGCCAAGGGCACUGUCUGCAUCACUUGCUUCUCUCUUGGGUUCCAAAGAUGCACAUUUCCAUCCUGUGCAGAGGCAGCAUCUGUGAGGAGAGCCAGGAUGAUGCACAGAGGAGAAAAUCUGCAGUACAGGCAGGACUUGAGGACUUUCCUUUGAGCGAGAAAAGACAAUGCUGGGAUUAUCCCUGUGGAUCAUAACCUUUGCCUGCUGAAGAAGAUACAUUGAGAUGUGCCAUCUAACAUAUAAGAGUGCUAAUUUCAUAAUGAGUUACAGAGCUUUAACAGGUGCCAUGGGAACAGGCAGUUCUGUUCCUGCCAACACCAGGACUCUCCUGUCUGCAGAGUGAGCUGGUGCACAAAGCUAAACCAGCAAAAGGUAGUGCUGGAAAAGGCAGCAAGCAGAAGGUUUAACUCCAUGAAAACCAGCUUGGAGAGGGAUAAAAACAAGGGUUAGCACUGAAUAGAGAAGAGGGGAAGGGGCAGGAGUGCCCCUUUAAGGAAGAGCUGCUCAAUUUAGCAGUGCAAAACUGCAGUUUAAAAAGCCUUGUCCUUGUAAUGCCAAGCAGAAAUCCCCCUGCAUUGGAACACUGGAGGAAAAGCAUCAAAAGUCAGGAGGAGAUUCGGGAGAUGACAAUCCCUCUUUAGGACAUUCCUGUGUUAUCUAAGGCUGUUACCAGCAAAAAUUUUGGUCACACACUCUUCUAUUCUCAUGGAUUUCUCAUGUGAGGGUCAUGAGCAAGCAGAUUUGUUUCCUACCCAGUUUCUCCAAGUUUUAUGAAAGCAGGCAGUACUGUUUCACCUUUUAGCUCGAGGUUGUCUGAAGACCACCAGACUUAAUAUUAUUGCUGCUGGCUAGCCCAGUAGUGUACACCUUCCUGCAGUUCUGGUUGUUGGGAGCCACACAAGCUGGCUGAAAUCCUUGCAGUUUAUUAAUCAAGGUAACUAAGGAAAUACAGUUACUAUUUGGAAGUGAGAAGGUCAUGAGGCAGAGGAAGAUGAAAUGAAAGUUGAAACAAAGUCUCAUAUACCAUUAAUGUCUGCUUGUUGAAAACAGUUGACAAGGAAUAAUUCUUUGCUGUCUCUUCCAAAUUAAAAAAAAAAGUAAUCAAAUGAAACUAAUGGAGUCCAAGUCAAAAGGUACAAAAAGAGGUGGUUCCUCACCAACUGAUAGUAGACCUCUAGCAUAAAUUGCUGCAGGAUGCUCAGGAUACAAGAAGUUUAUAUGGCCUCACCGUAGAGAUGGUUUUAAACCAGGGAGGAGGAGGAAACAGGGAAAAAAGGAGUGAGAGAGGGAAAAUAGAGACUCCAGUUCAGAGACUGCCUAGCGCUGCUGAAGACCCUCCACAAAACCUGCUGUUCCACAGAUCCACAGUGAAGCUGCUGUAUAAGCCUUGCAGCCAGAGACUCAGCACUUUGCCCAGUCCUACAAGACUUCUUGAAUGAAAGCAGAAGUGUAGCUGGCAUCCUCUCCUGCUGCUGCCACAAGUGCUGGAAAAGUUGUCUAAAUGUAAGAGAAAAUGAAGCAGAUUUUGGGUUGUAUUAUCCUCAGACGCGGAUUCUGUCUGCAAGAAGCCCUUCAUGAGCAAGGGGUGUUUGGUGCCACAAAGCACUGUCAUCUGCAGUAAUUAAGGAUGAUCAGCACCAGACACUACAGAUGAGAGGUGGGACAGCUCCUGGGGUGCAGCAGCUGGAAGGCUCAGGGGACACCUCGGCAGUGGUUCAGCUCUUAUUUCUUAAGCAUAGGGAUUUGUCUGAAGCCCGCUACUCCCUGUGUGGAUUUAAAGGGCUGUAUGAGGGUCAGCUCAAAUCAAGUUAACCUCAGAGCCCUGACAGUGAUGUGCAGUGAGCUGCAGUGCAUGCCAGGCUGCAAAGCACAGUUACUCAAGAACAUAUUCCACCUAUUGCUCUAGAGUGAAGUGUUUGGCCACCACAGUGUUCUGAAUAUGCGUCUGCCCAAAACAAAAGACAUGAUUGUGCAGAUCUCUUUUCUAUUUGGCACCAUUUCUGCAGCUCUAAAACAGCCAUGGCUUCUCUCCUGCAGCCCCCUGAGCUGCAGAGCACAUUAAGUAAUGCCACAACAGCUUUUUCAAGGAUCUGAUAGUGCUACACGACUCUCCAGCAUCCUCAGUUUGCUGGCUCCCAGCAUAUACACAAGCAGAAAAGUUCUCUUGUGACUACUGUCAAAUUCAGGCAUUGAAUGGCAAGGAGUGGAAGCAACAGACACAGGCUAUUCUGGACAGCAGAAAGCUGGAACACAAAGAGCCUGGCAGAAUUUAUCCUGUCACAUUGAGUUACAAGCCCUUGGAAUAGGAUAAAGGCUCCUUUUUCUUCCCUGGGGACUGUUCCUUUUGAAUGGUAAUAACAACCCUCCUUAGCUGUCCUGCAUAGCUGACAUACACAUAGUUAUCCCUUUUCAUCUUUUCUUGUAAGUCCUUCCAGCCUCUGAUAAUGUCAUUGGUCUUGAGUGACCCUUGCUUUGUUUUUCCCAUGUCUUAGACUCAGCUGCAAGACAGCUGAUAACAUUUAUAAUUAUCAAGAUGCUUAAAUAUGUUGCUGCUCCCACAGGUGCCUCCCACCCCUCCUCAUCUGUUGCUGGGAGGGUGUCUCCUGGAAGCUCAGAAGCCUUUUCUUCAGGCUAGGCUGAAUUCAUGUUACAAGGCUGGCCUGAUCAUCCUCUGCUGCUCUGGACUGUGCUGCUGAGAGGAAGGAAAAUGAACUCCCUGUCUGGUGAAAAAUGCUCUCCAUGACCCUAGCUCUGCUGUCUGAGAUGGAAAUAUGGACAUAAAGCACUGGCUCUGGCAGGCAGCUUCAUGGAAGAGGAGUGACUCAGGCAAAAUACUGAUGGGCUCUGCACUCAAAGUAUAACACACUGACCAAACUCUAUACACAGGGAAACUUGAAGUGUUCCUGACAGCUGCACUGGGCUUCAAUCCCAUUUUGGGUUGGGUUGUUGGUUUUUUGGGUUUUUUUUCUCCCAAAGCUAGAACAAAAAAGGAACAAAAACAAAAUAAAGAAGAGCAUUAAAAAAUUCAUUCCCUAUUUAAAGAAAAUACAAUUUUAAGGGGUUUUUUUUGUUUUGUUUUACCAAAUCCUUUUCACAUUCAAUGAAGAAAAGGGUGGUUUUAAGCUUAAACUGACAUCCCUAAUUUCAAAGGUAAAAGUAGCCAUGGCUAUGUAUUAGCCAGGUGCUUCAUGAUCUAGGCUCCACACUCUGGUAGACAGGUAGGUACACAGAUGAAAAUUCAGGCAAGAUCUGCCUUGGGUGGCUAUGAAGCACCAGCCACAAGAUGGUAUCACAUAAGCUUCUGAAAGAGGGAAUAAAGACCCUCACCAAAUGAUUAUGCUCUGCUUUUUUUAAGCAUGUUUUUAACUUCAGCAGCUAAAUAACAUACUGGCUCACAGCUGCUUUAUUUAAAGUUUCAUUGAUCUGACUCUGUUGGGAGCUUAUAAUGAAUACCAGAUCCCAUAUCCCUUAUAUUUUCUAUGGAGACAGGCAGAAGGAAAACACUUAAAACAAGGCAAGCUUUCUUUGAGAAGCAGGGGAGGGUGGGAAUCCCCCUCAAGCAGUAAUAUUCCUCUGCUCCCUCACCAGACUAAAAAGGAAACACAUAAAAGUUAUUUAUAACUUUUUUUUUUCUAGGUUAUGGAACACAAUAAAAUAAUAAAGAUCUUUUGGGCUUUAAAAAACAACAACAAAAAAAUCAUACUUUGUAAUUUUGAAAAUUUCAAAGGAAACUGCAUCAAGUGCCCAGAAGGGCAUCGUGUUUGGAGAAUUUAUUAACUCAGUCAUUAAGCUGGGUGGCAAAUCAUCUCCCCUAUGCCCUGAGAGAUCAUGUUUGGGUUGCAGUGUCACCCCUGACACUGCUGGAGAGACUGCAAAGAGUGCUUUCUCUUGCCCCAUUUACAUCCCUUCCUCACCCCCUAGGCUUCAGGUUAGCAAUAAGAUGCUGCUGGUGGGUUUGUGCUCCUGGGGGAAGGGCCAAAAUGCAACGGUGAUGGGCAUCCUCAGAAACUGCAAAAAGUAACCCCAGGUGUAAAGUGAAGAUGACUUCAUACACAUGCAGAACAGAGGGAGAAGUAAAGGGAAAAAAAACCCCAUUUAAUUUAUCUGAAUCUCUCAUAAUUAUCUUUGCUAAUUGCAUGAGGAAGCUACAAGGCAUUAAUCCUUGCUUCUCAACUCACUGGGACCAGGACCAGCCCAUUAAUUGAUAAACUGACCAAAACAGAAACACACUUUGUUCUCUAUUGCAGUAAUAAGCAAGAAAACCUUAUUCCAGUGCCUCAGAUGAACAGCACCACAUGCCCCUGCACCCAGACCCCUCCCACUACUCCACUGCAUUUUUACCACCUUGUUCUGGAAUUCCUGAUUUUGCUGCCAAAAUUCAGUAAAGAAGAAAAGCAGCCUCCCUGCACGACUGCCAGGGUCCCCACUGACCCUUCUUAGGCUGGGAACAGCAGGGCCUCCAUUUGAUACCGAGGGCAGGGCCCCGACUGCUUUAUCUCAAACCCAUCAGCCACAGGGCAGAGCAAGAAGAGAGUGAUUAUGUAGCAGGUGCUACCCUUGGCUCCACGACAGGACAAUCAACAUCGCUGAAUUACCAUUGCAGCCAUUCCCCAGGGAGCAGCCUGGCUGGAAUAAAGGGGCCAUCCCUCAGUCACCACGUGCAGAACAAACAGGAGCUCACAGCUAAAGCAGAGGUCUGGAGGAAGACAUGGGGAA